ACCUUUUAUGUUUAUGCUAUUCAUUGAGCAUAUUUACUUCUGUUUUCAUGCAUUAUAGGGUAUGGGCAUUGGCAUUAUGCAAGUGAUAUUGAACGUGUGAAUUCUUAUUGAUAGUAAGAACAUAUGAACAUAGAAUGUGGACAUAGAACCCUAUGAAUGCAUGGACUAUAACAAUAGUGAACUUGGUGACAUAUGACUAGAGAUUUGGUUAGCAUCGACAUUGGAAUUAUAAAACUAGCAUAAAGAGCUAGUUAGAGUAAAGUGUGACAGUGUUUGUCAGUUGAAUCCUCUAAAGGGGGAUCAGAUCAUACUCACAUUUGUUUAGUUCAAGUGAGGUCGCUCCUCCUUGAACGAUGAGCUCCGGAGUAGUCAUCUUUACUGGACCAGGAGGUGCGUCUCCCCCAAUUGACGGUCCCGUCGGGUGCAGGUUGCGUCUCCCCGAUAUUUGGGAUAGCGUC
rnacentral:lncRNA from 1 species